CUGGCGGCAUGCCUAAUACAUGCAAGUCGAACGGUCUUUCUAUGGAAGCUUGCUUCCACUGAGAAGAUAGUGGCGAACGGGUGAGUAACACGUGGGUAACCUGCCCAUAAGAGGGGGAUAACAUCCGGAAACGGGUGCUAAUACCGCAUAGUUUUCUUGAUCGCAUGAUCGGGAAAGGAAAGACGGCCUUUGUGCUGUCGCUUAUGGAUGGACCCGCGGCGUAUUAGUUAGUUGGUGAGGUAACGGCUCACCAAGACGAUGAUACGUAGCCGACCUGAGAGGGUGAUCGGCCACAUUGGGACUGAGACACGGCCCAAACUCCUACGGGAGGCAGCAGUAGGGAAUCUUCCGCAAUGGACGAAAGUCUGACGGAGCAACGCCGCGUGAGUGAAGAAGGUUUUCGGAAUCGUAAAACUCUGUUGUCAGAGAAGAACAAGUUGGAGAGUAACUGCUCCAGCCUUGACGGUAUCUGACCAGAAAGCCACGGCUAACUACGUGCCAGCAGCAGC
rnacentral:rRNA from 1 species